rnacentral:sRNA from 1 species
UAUAAAGGUUGUCCAACUCUUUAAAACGA